GACGAACGCUGGCGGCGUGCCUAACACAUGCAAGUCGAACGCGAAAGUGGAGCAAUCCAUGAGUAGAGUGGCAAACGGGUGAGUAACGCGUGGGCGACCUACCUUCGAGUGGGGGAGUAACCUUCCGAAGGAGGGCGUAAUACCGCAUGACAUCCCGUGUUUGGAUACACGGACAUCAAAGCCGGGGAUCGCAAGACCUGGCGCUUGGAGAGGGGCCCGCGUCCGAUUAGCUAGNGGUGAGGUAACGGCUCACCAAGGCUCCGAUCGGUAUCCGGCCUGAGAGGGCGGACGGACACACUGGAACUGAGACACGGUCCAGACUCCUACGGGAGGCAGCAGUGGGGAAUUGUUCGCAAUGGGCGCAAGCCUGACGACGCAACGCCGCGUGGAGGAUGAAGACUUUC
rnacentral:rRNA from 1 species